GCUUCCGUAUUUCAAUGGAUAGAAUGCUGGCCUCCGAAGCCGGUGAUCUGGGUUCGACUCCCAGCGGGAGCACCA
rnacentral:tRNA from 1 species